GACGAACGCUGGCUGCAGGCUUAACACAUGCAAGUCGAGGGACCGGCGCACGGGUGAGUAACACGUAUCCAGCCUGCCCUUUACUCGUGGAUAGCCUUUCGAAAGAAAGCUUAAUACCCGAUAUAAAGGAUGGGUAUGCGUGCCAUAAGGGUGUUGGUGAGGGAACGGCCCACCAAGCCUUCGAUGGAAAGGGGUUCGGAGAGGAAGGGUGCCGACAGUGUAACUGUGACACGGCCGACACGACUACGGGAGGCAGCAGUGAGGAAGAUUGGUCACUGGGCGUUAGCAUGAACCAGCAAAGUAGCGUGAAGGAUGAAGGCGGAUGGGUCGUAAACGUCUUUUAUAUAAGAAUAUGUAUUAGAUGAAUAAGGAGCGGCUAACUCCGUGCCAGCAGCCGCGGUAAUUC
rnacentral:rRNA from 1 species